rnacentral:snRNA from 1 species
GCGCUCGCUUCGGCAGCACAUAUACUAAAAUUGGAAUGGUACAGAGAAGAUUAGCACGGCCCCUGUGCAAGGAUGACACGCAAAUUCGUGAAGCAUUCCUUAUUUUU